CGAAAUGACUCGAAAAAAGAUUCGUUCAUUUUGCUGAACGAGACUCAAAGGUCCGAGUCAUUAAAAUGAUCCGAACUUCCCAUCACUACCGGUUUAGAGUGGGCGGGAUUAUUCACAUGUCGCUCUACUGCCGUGACUCCUGAAAAACGUUUUAAUCACGCUCUCGCUGGAUCUGCUCCUCGGCUAUCAAAGAGAGGACAGUCUGUACUUCCUCAAGAGACAACGAAACAGCCAUUUUUUGGUUGUUAAAAGAAAGGUGCACUCAUUCAAAACAGUCGCGUUACUUAGAUCCUUCGCUGGCUGCUGAUUUAAAUCUAGCGGGUCUGUUGUGUCUCGUGCGGCAAGUUCAAUGACGCAGGCAGUGACGAUUUUCUCCGGCCAAUCAGUGAUCAGCAGAGUUUACACGUCACGUUUUGGUAACGGUACAGUUCACUUGGAACCUCAGCCGAGGUGGUACUGAAAAAAAGUAACAGGUAGUGCAGCUGUACCCAGUGGAAAAGUGAACCGUACCUUGCCGUACCAUGCAGUGGAAAAGCGACCAUUAUAUGAAAGUCAUACAGGUUUGGAAAGACAUUAGUUCACGUCUUUAAUGAAAAAUCAGUGGGGAAGAGCAAAAUAAAUGGACACAUGAGCAGAGAGCGAGGGAUGAGGUAUGAAGAAAAAAGAAGAAUGGAUAGUGGCAGCUGGCAUGUGAUAUGUCUAAAGCGCAGGAUUUAACAGUGAGUGGAAAAGAGGAAUUCUAUUGGACCAACCUGUGGAUUGAGUGUCAGUUAACGCCAUUCCUUAAUGCCUGUCAACAGAGAGAGAGGGAGAAAGAGAAAUGAAUGAGAAACAGCGGAGAGGUGGAUGAGGUGAUGAGAUUUUGCGGUAUGGCGAAAUUGAAAAUGUGUGGGAGAGCACAAGAGAGGGAGUAUGAGGGAAGGACAGAUGAGUAAAGGAGGAGUUGGGUAACGAGAGCUGUU